AUUGAACGCUGGCGGCAUGCCUUACACAUGCAAGUCGAACGGUAACGGGCCUUCGGGUGCCGACGAGUGGCGAACGGGUGAGUAAUGCAUCGGAACGUACCUUUCAGUGGGGGAUAACGUAGCGAAAGUUACGCUAAUACCGCAUAUUCUGUGAGCAGGAAAGCAGGGGAUCGCAAGACCUUGUGCUGAUUGAGCGGCCGAUGUCAGAUUAGCUAGUUGGUGAGGUAAAGGCUCACCAAGGCGACGAUCUGUAGCGGGUCUGAGAGGAUGAUCCGCCACACUGGAACUGAGACACGGUCCAGACUCCUACGGGAGGCAGCAGUGGGGAAUUUUGGACAAUGGGGGCAACCCUGAUCCAGCCAUGCCGCGUGAGUGAAGAAGGCCUUCGGGUUGUAAAGAC
rnacentral:rRNA from 1 species